CCCCUAGAUGUUCUGGGCCGCACGCGCGCUACACUGAACAGUUCAACAAGUCUUAACCUUGGCCGAUAGGUCUGGGUAAUCUUUGAACGCUGUUCGUGAUUGGGAUAGACCUUUGCAAUUAUGGGUCUUCAACGAGGAAUUCCCAGUAAGCGCGAGUCAUCAUCUCGCGUUGAUUACGUCCCUGCCCUUUGUACACACCGCCCGUCGCUACUACCGAUUGAAUGGUUUAGUGAGAUCCUCGGAUUGGCCAUCUCGGCGUGACUUCGGUUGUGCACGUGGUGGCCGAGAAGACGAUCAAACUUGAUCAUUUAGAGGAAGUAAAAGUCGUAACA
rnacentral:rRNA from 1 species